GCUGGGUAGGGGAGCGUUCUGUAAGCCUGUGAAGGUGGCCUGUGAGGGUUGCUGGAGGUAUCAGAAGUGCGAAUGCUGACAUAAGUAACGAUAAAGCGGGUGAAAAGCCCGCUCGCCGGAAGACCAAGGGUUCCUGUCCAACGUUAAUCGGGGCAGGGUGAGUCGACCCCUAAGGCGAGGCCGAAAGGCGUAGUCGAUGGGAAACGGGUUAAUAUUCCCGUACUUGGUGUUACUGCGAAGGGGGGACGGAGAAGGCUAUGUUGGCCGGGCGACGGUUGUCCCGGUUUAAGCGUGUAGGUGUGUGUUCCAGGUAAAUCCGGUUCACUUUAACACUGAGGCGUGACGACGAGGCACUACGGUGCUGAAGCAACAAAUGCCCUGCUUCCAGGAAAAGCCUCUAAGCAUCAGGUAACAUCAAAUCGUACCCCAAACCGACACAGGUGGUCAGGUAGAGAAUACCAAGGCGCUUGAGAGAACUCGGGUGAAGGAACUAGGCAAAAUGGUGCCGUAACUUCGGGAGAAGGCACGCUGACA
rnacentral:rRNA from 1 species